GUGUGAGUAGCGAAAGACGGGUGAGAAUCCCGUCCACCGAUUGACUAAGGUUUCCAGAGGAAGGCUCGUCCGCUCUGGGUUAGUCGGGGCCUAAGCUGAGGCCGACAGGCGUAGGCGAUGGAUAACAGGUUGAUAUUCCUGUACCACCUAUAAUCGUUUUAAUCGAUGGGGGGACGCAGUAGGAUAGGCGAAGCGUGCGAUUGGAUUGCACGUCUAAGCAGUAAGGCUGAGUAUUAGGCAAAUCCGGUACUCGUUAAGGCUGAG
rnacentral:rRNA from 1 species